rnacentral:lncRNA from 1 species
AGGUCUGCAAUGACGGAAGGACUAUCUCAACAGGCAUGGAGGCGAAUGGUAGGAGAUCCUGUCACAGAAAAGAGACCAGGGUCUAACACGGGAAGCUUCAGGAGACCUGCAACAAGAAGCACAGACUCUUUGCCAGAGCAUGAUACCAACUUGGACAGUGAUGAAUGUCAGCUGGGUGUAGAUCAUGUCCACCAGGCAGGCAAAUUCCG